rnacentral:rRNA from 1 species
AUUAGAGUUUGAUCCUGGCUCAGAACGAACGGCGGCGUGCCUAAUACAUGCAAGUCGAACGAGAAAGCUUCCUUCGGGAAGUGAGUAGAGUGGCGCACGGGUGAGUAACGCGUGGGUAAUCUGCCCUUGUGUUUGGGAUAACUCGGGGAAACCCGGGCUAAUACCGAAUGCGGCUGGGAGUUCUUUGGAUCUCCUGGAGAAAGGUGGCCUCUUCACGAAAGCUAAUGCGAGGAUGAGCCCGCGGCCCAUUAGCUUGUUGGUGAGGUAAAAGCUCACCAAGGCCGAGAUGGGUAGCUGGUCUGAGAGGACGAUCAGCCACACUGGAACUGAGACACGGUCCAGACUCCUACGGGAGGCAGCAGUAGGGAAUUUUGGUCAAUGGGGGAAACCCUGAACCAGCAACGCCGCGUGUGGGAUGAAGGCCCUCGGGUCGUAAACCACUGUCAGGAGGGAAGAACCGUACCGAGGCCAAUACCCUCGGUACCUGACGGUACCUCCAAAGGAAGCACCGGCUAACUCCGUGCCAGCAGCCGCGGUAAUACGGAGCCGAGGCAAGCGUUGUUCGGAAUUACUGGGCGUAAAGCGCGUGCAGGUGGUUCGGCAAGUCGGGUGUGAAAUCCCCGGGCUCAACCCGGGAACUGCAUCCGAAACUUCCGAGCUAGAGUCCCGGAGAGGAAGGCAGAAUUCCCAAUGUAGGGGUGAAAUCCGUAGAUAUAACGAGGAAUACCAGUUGCGAAGGCGGCCUUCUGGACGGUGACUGACACUCAGACGCGAAAGCGUGGGGAGCAAACAGGAUUAGAUACCCUGGUAGUCCACGCUGUAAACGUUGCGGACUAGGUGUCGGGGGGUACGAUG